UAAUAAGAACACACCUGCAUGAGAUGGCAUCAAUAACUGACUUCUUCCAUGUAAAAGAAAUGAAUAUACAUGGUCAUCAAUGUAAAGAUUCUCUUUUAAAGGCACAAUAUGGUACUAGGAGCAUCUAUUAUGAAUGAAAACGGAAGGGGCGGCAAUAAAUAACAUUACAGUCUUUUAAUUAUCAGUAAACAUAUCAUAUAAAGGGCUGUCAUUCCCAUUUGCUCUCAUUAGUCAUUUAUGAACUAAUAUCCGAUGGCAUCACCUGCCUGAAAAAGGAACUAUCCUCCUGCAUUGAUGCAUCA
rnacentral:lncRNA from 1 species